rnacentral:ncRNA from 3 species
UACGGAGGGGGCUAGCGUUGUUCGGAAUUACUGGGCGUAAAGCGCGCGUAGGCGGACUUUCAAGUCAGGGGUGAAAUCCCGAGGCUCAACCUCGGAACUGCCUUUGAUACUGUAAGUCUUGAGUCCGAGAGAGGUGAGUGGAAUUCCUAGUGUAGAGGUGAAAUUCGUAGAUAUUAGGAAGAACACCAGUGGCGAAGGCGGCUCACUGGCUCGGUACUGACGCUGAGGCGCGAAAGCGUGGGGAGCAAACAGG